GCAGAUUGAGAGACAGCAGAGGUCCGCAGCACGGAACCACGGGAAAGUCAACACUCCGCGCCGCCUAGAAGGGACAAGAUCUUACGGCCACAACCCUGGUUCCCGAUUCGACCGUCGGUCCUGCCUCAACCCAAAUUAGCAACAGACUUGGAGAAAAGACAAAGGUCCCGGGAGGAAAAAGAGCUGGGUUUUCGAAGGAUUUGGACCCGUUCUGCUUUGCUCCUAUUCAAAGGAGGAUUUUUCCAUGCAAGGACAAAGACUCAAACCAAGGCUUCUGGGAGUUCCUGUUGCUAAAGAUCCCUUGUCAACUGGGUAGAGCGACUCUGCCGCGCUGGCUGAGGACGAAGCUGCAGUCCGGAGCAUCAGAGGUGGCCUGCGUCAGGAACGACCAGGUCGACGCUCGGAGAUUCGUCAGAGUGACAGAAAUGAACUGGAAUAAAUGGCGACCGGAUCUCGGCGUUAAGCUGAAGGAAGAACCCGCAGAUCAGCUGACGACCGCAUGAACCCAGGA